rnacentral:rRNA from 1 species
GCCAGACUCCUACGGGAGGCAGCAGUGAGGAAUAUUGGUCAAUGGCCGAGAGGCUGAACCAGCCAAGUCGCGUGAGGGAAGAAUGUCCUAUGGAUUGUAAACCUCUUUUGUCAGGGAGCAAAGUCACCCACGUGUGGGUGUUGGAGAGUACCUGAAGAAAAAGCAUCGGCUAACUCCGUGCCAGCAGCCGCGGUAAUACGGAGGAUGCGAGCGUUAUCCGGAUUUAUUGGGUUUAAAGGGUGCGCAGGCGGCGAGUUAAGUCGGCGGUAAAAUUUCGGGGCUCAACCCCGACAAGCCGUUGAAACUGGCUUGCUAGAGUGGGCGAGAAGUAUGCGGAAUGCGUGGUGUAGCGGUGAAAUGCAUAGAUAUCACGCAGAACUCCGAUUGCGAAGGCAGCAUACCGGCGCCCAACUGACGCUCAGGCACGAAAGCGUGGGUAUCGAACAGGAUUAGAUACCCGUGUAAU